UUAAAAGACUGUGCCCUUCACAAUUAGCAAUACCCAAUUUUGAGCUUAAAUUUACACGUUUGCUAAAUUUACAGAUAAAAUUUUAAUGUACAUAAAUAAUCUUUAUUUUCCAAAUAAGCUGCACAUUUGUCGUAAAAAAAAUGUUUUAUUUUAUUGCUGAAACAUUAACUUCUGCACAUUUAAUCUUGCUCCAGACGAGGAAGUUGUACUUCUGUAUUUGAUGAGCACAUCAAUAAAAUCAUCAUUUCGGAAUAACAAUGGAUUUCACAGGAUUUAAAAACUCGGGGAGUUGUACCACUUUGUAUCAUUCCGGUUUUGCCAGCUUCCUUUACCUUGUAAUAAAAUUUCCGGAUUUUUUACUGAAACUUUUCAACAAAUAAGACCAUGGCUACGUUUGUCCUGUUGAUUGCGUUCCUCGUCCUGGGUCUGGCGACGCUGAUGAAGGCGGCCCCAACUAGCUGGCAGUGCGCCAUGCUCUGCGCCUUGUACAAUGCUUGCAUGGACGUGGGUAGUCCAAAUUGUGGACGUCCGCCAGUCGGAUGUGAUUGCGAAGAUUGGAAAAAUUUAGGGAAUACAUGCAAUAAUUAAUUGAGUCAUUCUUUUGUAAGAAUUUGGCAAGAAAUUUUUUUUUUUUUUCAUUUUUAAAGCUUAAAAAUUCGAAAAUGGUAUAUAAAAAUUAAAUAAAUAACAUUUGUUUGAAUUA